rnacentral:rRNA from 1 species
CGCCCCCUACGGGGGCAGCAGUGGGGAAUAUUGGACAAUGGGGGGAGCCCUGAUCCAGCGACGCCGCGUGAGUGAAGAAGUAUUUCGGUAUGUAAAGCUCUAUCAGCAGGGAAGAAAGAAAUGACGGUACCUGACUAAGAAGCCCCGGCUAACUACGUGCCAGCAGCCGCGGUAAUACGUAGGGGGCAAGCGUUAUCCGGAUUUACUGGGUGUAAAGGGAGCGUAGACGGCGAU